GCGCCGGUGGUGUAAGGCGAACAUCGCUGCCCGGAAAGCAGAAGAUGCGGGUUCGAGUCCCGCCUGACGCA
rfam:Heligmosomoides polygyrus genome assembly, scaffold: HPBE_scaffold0008719